rnacentral:lncRNA from 1 species
AUUGGCUUCUAGGACAUACAUCUAACAGCAAUAUCAUCAAAACUCUGUUCGAUGGAUCAAAACUCCUUUCAAUUCAGUCAAUUAGAAUAAUUGAUCAUCAAAAUAAUUCUAAUUAAUUCCACAAUCCACCAGUGACACCUAAUAGUAUGUGGUGGCAAUCCAACAAACUGAAGAAUGAACCUCUAGAUGCAGUUACCAUGUGAUUUGAUUCUUCUAUCGUGAGUCCCGGU